rnacentral:rRNA from 1 species
GACUGGGGGCUGCUUACACAUGCAGUCGACGAUGAUGCCCAGCUUGCUGGGCGGAUUAGUGGCGAACGGGUGAGUAAUACGUGAGUAACCUGCCCUUGACUCUGGGAUAAGCCUGGGAAACUGGGUCUAAUACUGGAUACUACCUCUUGCCGCAUGGUGGGUGGUGGAAAGGGUUUUACUGGUUUUGGAUGGGCUCACGGCCUAUCAGCUUGUUGGUGGGGUAAUGGCUCACCAAGGCGACGACGGGUAGCCGGCCUGAGAGGGUGACCGGCCACACUGGGACUGAGACACGGCCCAGACUCCUACGGGAGGCAGCAGUGGGGAAUAUUGCACAAUGGGCGGAAGCCUGAUGCAGCGACGCCGCGUGAGGGAUGACGGCCUUCGGGUUGUAAACCUCUUUCAGUAGGGAAGAAGCGAGAGUGACGGUACCUGCAAAAGAAGCGCCGGCUAACUACGUGCCAUCAGCCGCGGUAAUACGUAGGGCGCAAGCGUUGUCCGGAAUUAUUGGGCGUAAAGAGCUCGUAAGCGGUUUGUCGCGUCUGCUGUGAAAGCCCGGGGCUCAACCCCGGGUCUGCAUUGGGUACGGGCAGACUAGAGUGCAGUAGGGGAGACUGGAAUUCCUGGUGUAGCGGUGAAAUGCGCAGAUAUCAGGAGGAACUCCGAUGGCGAAGGCAGGUCUCUGGGCUGUUACUGACGCUGACGAGCGAAAGCAUGCGGAGCGAACAGGAUUAUAUACCCUGGUAGUCCAUGCCGUAAACGUUGGGCACUAGGUGUGGGGGACAUUCCACGUUUUCCGCGCCGUAUCUAACGCAUUAAGUGCCUCGCCUGGGGAGUACGGGCGCAUGGCUAAAUCUCACAGGAAUUGACGGGGGCCCGCACAAGCGGCGGAGCAUGCGGAUAAUAUCGAUGCAUCGCGAGAACCUUACCAAGGCUUGACAUCACCGGAUUGCCCUAGAUAUGGGGUUUCCCAUCGGGGCUGUUGACAUGGUGGUGCAUGAUUGUCGUCACUCGUGUCGUGUAGAUGUUGGGUAUGUCCCGCAAC